rnacentral:rRNA from 1 species
UUAAGCGACUAAGCGUACACGGUGGAUGCCCUGGCAGUCAGAGGCGAUGAAGGACGUGCUAAUCUGCGAUAAGCGUCGGUAAGGUGAUAUGAACCGUUAUAACCGGCGAUUUCCGAAUGGGGAAACCCAGUGUGAUUCGUCACACUAUCAUUAACUGAAUCCAUAGGUUAAUGAGGCGAACCGGGGGAACUGAAACAUCUAAGUACCCCGAGGAAAAGAAAUCAACCGAGAUUCCCCCAGUAGCGGCGAGCGAACGGGGAGCAGCCCAGAGCCUGAAUCAGUGUGUGUGUUAGUGGAAGCGUCUGGAAAGGCGUGCGAUACAGGGUGACAGCCCCGUACACAAAAAUGCACAUACUGUGAGCUCGAUGAGUAGGGCGGGACACGUGGUAUCCUGUCUGAAUAUGGGGGGACCAUCCUCCAAGGCUAAAUACUCCUGACUGACCGAUAGUGAACCAGUACCGUGAGGGAAAGGCGAAAAGAACCCCGGCGAGGGGAGUGAAAAAGAACCUGAAACCGUGUACGUACAAGCAGUGGGAGCACGCUUAGGCGUGUGACUGCGUACCUUUUGUAUAAUGGGUCAGCGACUUAUAUUCUGUAGCAAGGUUAACCGAAUAGGGGAGCCGAAGGGAAACCGAGUCUUAACUGGGCGUUAAGUUGCAGGGUAUAGACCCGAAACCCGGUGAUCUAGCCAUGGGCAGGUUGAAGGUUGGGUAACACUAACUGGAGGACCGAACCGACUAAUGUUGAAAAAUUAGCGGAUGACUUGUGGCUGGGGGUGAAAGGCCAAUCAAACCGGGAGAUAGCUGGUUCUCCCCGAAAGCUAUUUAGGUAGCGCCUCGUGAAUUCAUCUCCGGGGGUAGAGCACUGUUUCGGCAAGGGGGUCAUCCCGACUUACCAACCCGAUGCAAACUGCGAAUACCGGAGAAUGUUAUCACGGGAGACACACGGCGGGUGCUAACGUCCGUCGUGAAGAGGGAAACAACCCAGACCGCCAGCUAAGGUCCCAAAGUCAUGGUUAAGUGGGAAACGAUGUGGGAAGGCCCAGACAGCCAGGAUGUUGGCUUAGAAGCAGCCAUCAUUUAAAGAAAGCGUAAUAGCUCACUGGUCGAGUCGGCCUGCGCGGAAGAUGUAACGGGGCUAAACCAUGCACCGAAGCUGCGGCAGCGACGCUGAUGCGUUGUUGGGUAGGGGAGCGUUCUGUAAGCCUGUGAAGGUGUACUGUGAGGUAUGCUGGAGGUAUCAGAAGUGCGAAUGCUGACAUAAGUAACGAUAAAGCGGGUGAAAAGCCCGCUCGCCGGAAGACCAAGGGUUCCUGUCCAACGUUAAUCGGGGCAGGGUGAGUCGACCCCUAAGGCGAGGCCGAAAGGCGUAGUCGAUGGGAAACAGGUUAAUAUUCCUGUACUUGGUGUUACUGCGAAGGGGGGACGGAGAAGGCUAUGUUGGCCGGGCGACGGUUGUCCCGGUUUAAGCGUGUAGGCUGGUUUUCCAGGCAAAUCCGGAAAAUCAAGGCUGAGGCGUGAUGACGAGGCACUACGGUGCUGAAGCAACAAAUGCCCUGCUUCCAGGAAAAGCCUCUAAGCAUCAGGUAACAUCAAAUCGUACCCCAAACCGACACAGGUGGUCAGGUAGAGAAUACCAAGGCGCUUGAGAGAACUCGGGUGAAGGAACUAGGCAAAAUGGUGCCGUAACUUCGGGAGAAGGCACGCUGAUAUGUAGGUGAAGUCCCUCGCGGAUGGAGCUGAAAUCAGUCGAAGAUACCAGCUGGCUGCAACUGUUUAUUAAAAACACAGCACUGUGCAAACACGAAAGUGGACGUAUACGGUGUGACGCCUGCCCGGUGCCGGAAGGUUAAUUGAUGGGGUCAGCGCAAGCGAAGCUCUUGAUCGAAGCCCCGGUAAACGGCGGCCGUAACUAUAACGGUCCUAAGGUAGCGAAAUUCCUUGUCGGGUAAGUUCCGACCUGCACGAAUGGCGUAAUGAUGGCCAGGCUGUCUCCACCCGAGACUCAGUGAAAUUGAACUCGCUGUGAAGAUGCAGUGUACCCGCGGCAAGACGGAAAGACCCCGUGAACCUUUACUAUAGCUUGACACUGAACAUUGAGCCUUGAUGUGUAGGAUAGGUGGGAGGCUUUGAAGUGUGGACGCCAGUCUGCAUGGAGCCGACCUUGAAAUACCACCCUUUAAUGUUUGAUGUUCUAACGUUGACCCGUAAUCCGGGUUGCGGACAGUGUCUGGUGGGUAGUUUGACUGGGGCGGUCUCCUCCUAAAGAGUAACGGAGGAGCACGAAGGUUGGCUAAUCCUGGUCGGACAUCAGGAGGUUAGUGCAAUGGCAUAAGCCAGCUUGACUGCGAGCGUGACGGCGCGAGCAGGUGCGAAAGCAGGUCAUAGUGAUCCGGUGGUUCUGAAUGGAAGGGCCAUCGCUCAACGGAUAAAAGGUACUCCGGGGAUAACAGGCUGAUACCGCCCAAGAGUUCAUAUCGACGGCGGUGUUUGGCACCUCGAUGUCGGCUCAUCACAUCCUGGGGCUGAAGUAGGUCCCAAGGGUAUGGCUGUUCGCCAUUUAAAGUGGUACGCGAGCUGGGUUUAGAACGUCGUGAGACAGUUCGGUCCCUAUCUGCCGUGGGCGCUGGAGAAUUGAGGGGGGCUGCUCCUAGUACGAGAGGACCGGAGUGGACGCAUCACUGGUGUUCGGGUUGUCAUGCCAAUGGCACUGCCCGGUAGCUAAAUGCGGAAGAGAUAAGUGCUGAAAGCAUCUAAGCACGAAACUUGCCCCGAGAUGAGUUCUCCCUGACUCCUUGAGAGUCCUGAAGGAACGUUGAAGACGACGACGUUGAUAGGCCGGGUGUGUAAGCGCAGCGAUGCGUUGAGCUAACCGGUACUAAUGAACCGUGAGGCUUAACCU